ACUAUCAUCAUCAUCCACUGUUUUGAAAAUUCUCAAUGCAGUAAGAUAUGAAAUAGAAAUAAGAGGAAUGAACAUCAAAAAGGAAGAAACAAAAAUCAUUAUUUGUAGUUGAUGUAGUUUCAGUACUAGUUAAGUAAAAAGAACUGGUUAAAAGUAUUGAAAUUAGUAAGUGGAUUUGGUAAAACAACUAGAAACAAAUUAAUUUAUAAAGAAGGAAUAACAUUUUUCUAAGCAGUUGGAAAAGAGAGUGAAAUUUUGCCUAUUUGUGAUUCUGAGGAACUUACCCCUUACCUCCCAGUCAAGUGCACUGUCCAAACCACGUCUCCCCAUAGUCCUUCUCCUUUCUUCCCACCACACUGACACCACCCUGAGGACAAUCUCAUGCAUCACAUAUAUUCAGUUAAUUAGUAUCCAUGAGAACAAAUUUUAUCUUGAAGAUUCUGUGUUAACAUUUUGGGUGGAUGAGGAUUCUCUGAGAAGAGCACUUAAGAAAGGCCCUUCAUAAAAUGUUUUUGUUGAUGCUUAUCUCCCUUUCAGUUUCCCUUAUGUCUCGCUUCUUUUUUCUAAAGAUUGGCAUCUGAGCUAACAUCUGUUGCCAAUCUUCUUUUUUUUCUUUCUUCUUCUCCCCAAAGCCCCCCAGUACAUAGUUGUAUAUUCUAGUUGUAGGUCCUUCUGGUUGUGCCAUGUGGGAUGCCACCUCAGCAUGGCUUGAUGAGUGGUGUCAUGUCCGCACUCAGGAUCCGAACCAGCAAAACCCUGGGCCACUGAAGUGGAGUGCGUGAACUUACUCACACAACCAUGGGGCUGGCCCCAUGGUCUCACUUUUUUCCCCUCCCUCCAGUAACUGUUUGUUGUGAAAUAUAACUUGUAGACUUUUGUGAUAAGCCUGCAGUCAAUGCCAGUGUCUGCCUGCACAUGGAAGUAAGUGUAGGGGAAGUAAACUUCUCUCUCUUCUCCACCCAUUUUUCACCUGGACACAGGCUAUGGGAUGGGUUAGCAGAGUUACAGAACCACAGCCUCUCUCAGCCAGAAUAUUCCUUCCCCCAAUCCACCUGCCUUGUCCACCAACACCUGCUGAGGAUUUUAUGGCCACAACCUGACUGCCUGCAGCUCUCUGCAUUCGGAUGGGAUCCAAUCCAGGAAACCACAUUGCAUUUAGGGGCUCAUGUACUUUUAACCAUUAUAUAAACCUCUUUCAAUGCCCAUUUCCAGCUCCAUCUCAGUGUGUUCUUCCAAGACUUUCCAUCAAACAUAGGGGAGAAGAAGGAACCAAGAUCCUAAAACAUCAUCUCUAAAGCCACCUUAGCAUUUCUCAUCAGCAUUUCCUGAAAGGAAAUCUCCAGAUCAAGAGUCUAACAAGAGGCCCCAUGGUUGAGUGGUUAAGUUCACAGGCUCUGCUUCAGCAGCCCAGGGUUUUGCUGGUUUGGAUCCUUGGCAUGGACCAAGCACUGCUCAUCAAGCCAUGCCGAGGUGGCAUCCCACAUAGUACAGCUGGAAGGACCCACAACUAAAGUAUACAACAACAUACUGGGGUCUUUGGGGAGAAGAAGGGGGAAAAAAAAGAGUAGUUUGGCAUGCUCCACUUCUGCGGCCUGGGUUUGCUCCCCGGGCACCGACCCACACCACUCUUCUGUCAUUGGUCAUGCUGUGGUGGCAGCUUACAGACAAAAUAGAGGAAGAUUGGCAACAGAUGUUAGCUCAGGGCAAAUCUUCCUUACCAAAAAAAAAAAGAGAGAGAGAGAGCCUAACAAGAUACUCUGUUAUCUUAAAGAAAAGAGCAGUUCUAUAGUCAAAUAAGUUAAAGAAAUGCCAGAUGUCAAAUCCCUUCUUUUUUUUUUCCUAGUGAAAAGAAAUCUGGAGUAUCUUUAUUAUUAUCAGGCAAAGUUGAUUUCAAAGCUGUUGCUUCGAAGCUGAUUUCAGAGAAAAGAAUAUUAUGAAGGAUAAAGAGGGUCGUUUAAUAAUUAUAAAAUUAUCAAUUCAUCUAGAGACAUAACAGUCUUAAACAUUUCUUUACCAAAUAACAAAGCUUCAAAAUACAUGAAGCAAAAACUGAUAGAACUUCAAGGAUAAACAGACAAAUCCACAGAUAUAGUCAGUAAUUUCAACAACCCUCUCUCAAUAAUUGGAUAGAACAAGUAGACAGAAAAUAAGGACACAGAGGUCUCAAACAACACUGUCAACCAAUUCA
rnacentral:lncRNA from 1 species